AUAGAGUUCUGACCAUAUGCAUAUGCUGAAUUUUCAGAUCCAAUUCAAGCUUCGGGUGCAAAGAAAUAGUAUAGGUUUUGUAUCUAGAUCAUGUGGCCAUCUGACUUCAUGUGAUGUAUUUUAAUCAAAACUAUAAGCGUGAGGAAACUUUCAAGAAAAGAAGUCUGCUACCAUUAAAAAAGGAAAGAAAGGAACUCCCCUUAUCUCUAAUGUGGUACAUGCGUGCAACUGCUGACGCCAAUGUAUCAAUACCCUUAAAAAGAAGGGUUCCUCUUACAUAUUGUCACAUGAACAUAAAGAGAUGAGAGUCUUGUUUCAUGUCUUGGGGGAAAAUAUGCAUAUCCACAUCAAAGAUUUGUGGUUAAUUCUUUUGCUACAUUGUGCACUGCAUCGACCAAAAGCCCUGUUCCCAUAACUCAAAUGCCAAUUUUCACACAUUUUGCAGAGCGUGCUAUAAGCGUUGGCUUUUUUGCUUUUUGAUGCAUGUUUUCGAGUCGAGCCUCUACAGAAACCAUCAAAAUACAGACUUUUCAUUAGUGUGAAGGUGUAACAAAAGUAGCAGAUGUUGACGCCAGUAGAAAAGCAUUUACCCACUGAGGUUUGGUUCAUGUUAUAUUAUACGUCUCGGCCAUAAAAAGCAAAUAGAUACAUGCACAAGGGAAUUCCCCAGAGCGGCUGAACAAUUACAGAUGUGUAAAUCCCCAAUCCAUGUCCUAGGCCAAUCUCCUCCCAUUGACAAGAGCACAAUAUCCUCACACUGCUCUGGGAAGCAGCUGGCAGCUGAUCUGAAAGCAGCUUUCUGUUUUCACCAAAGACAGUUAAACAAACUCUUGAUCAAUUGAUAGGCCUGUAUCAGCAAUAUUAUUGUUUUUACUGAAGCACUCAGUGGUCUUGCAUGCUUUAUGGGAUAUGCAUUAUCAUGCACCUGGACUUGACUUGGGAAAGUUCAGGGGAUUUUAGAAAAGAGGAACUGUAACUAUUUAACGGAAGCUGGUGAAAUGUAAAAGAGUGAAUGUUAUUCAACAUUUUGGGUGCCCUUCAAUGCACUUCACAGAAUUACUA
ensembl:lncRNA